CGCUGAUUGGCCGGCCGGCGGGGAGACGUUCCUGCACGCCAAACGCUCUGAUUGGACGACCGGUGGGAAAGGUUAAACCAAAAAUUUUUUUACAGCUCUAGUGUGUGUCUGUAGCUCUGAAAUUAAUUGUAGCUAAAGCUGUCUGCGCCGCUCUGAUCUACAGCCCCGGCUGCUGCUAUUCCCCCCUCCCUUGCUCGGGCGGAAUAGGGGGGCUCCUCCAGGCACCAUGAAGUAGUUUGGACAGAGGGACUCGGGGUUCCUUUUUUAAGGGGGGGCAGUCAUCUUUUCCUCCCCUUUGGAAUCCCCCCUUUUCCUUCUCUUUUCCUUUUUCUUUUUUGGAAACAUUUUUGUGCCCCCCUUCCCCCCCUCCCGCUGCAUUGGCUUUCCUUGCAGUGCUGGGUGCCUCUUGUCUUUUCCUUCCCUUCCCCGGUGGCUCCUGUCCUUGCUACAUGCCUUGCCAAGCGCUGGAGCUUGUGGUGCAAGUGCCCGGCUGCUGCUGCUCCUGCCGCCUAGCUGCUACCCAUCGCUGCGCCUCUGAAGCCACCCUUCAGGACGGACCAAGCAGCUCCCCCCUCAUCACCUUCUCCCGGCUGUGCAACUUUCCCCCUCCGCCUAGAGUGUGAUGUUGGAUAUGGGCGAUAGGAAGGAAGCGAAAAUGCUGCCCAAGUCGUCCUUUAGCAUCAACAGCCUGGUGCCUGAAGCCGUCCAGAGCGACAACAACCACAAUCACCACCACCACAACAACCACCACCCGCACCACCAUCACCACCACCACCAUCACCACCACCACCACCCCCAGCAGCAGCAGCAGCCCCAGAGAGGGACCCCGGCCGACGAAGACGACGAGGAGGAGAAAAACCAGCUCCUGCUGCAGCCCCCUGGGGUGGGGGUCGGCGUGGCGGUGGCUGCCUCUGCCUCGGGGGCGGCCACCACGUCUGGCCCCAUGGAGGUGUCCAAGGGGGACCUCUUGGCCGGCAAAGGGGAGCCGGGCUCGGCCGCUGAGCUGGACGACAAGGAGAAGGGGCCGUCGGAGGAGAAGAAGGGGGCGUCGGAAGGGGCCAAGGACGGCGGCGGCGGCGGCGGCGGCGACAGCGGGGGCAAGGAGGGCGAGAAGAAGAACGGCAAGUACGAGAAGCCGCCCUUCAGCUACAACGCGCUGAUCAUGAUGGCCAUCCGGCAGAGCCCGGAGAAGCGGCUGACCCUCAAUGGCAUCUACGAGUUCAUCAUGAAGAACUUCCCCUACUACCGGGAGAACAAGCAGGGCUGGCAGAACUCGAUCCGCCACAACCUCUCGCUCAAUAAGUGCUUCGUCAAGGUGCCGCGCCACUACGACGACCCGGGCAAGGGCAACUACUGGAUGCUGGACCCGUCCAGCGACGACGUCUUCAUCGGCGGCACCACGGGCAAGCUGCGGCGGCGCUCCACCACCUCGCGGGCCAAGCUGGCCUUCAAGCGGGGCGCGCGCCUCACCUCCACCGGCCUGACCUUCAUGGACAGGGCGGGCUCCUUGUACUGGCCCAUGUCGCCCUUCCUGUCCCUCCACCACCCGCGGGCCAGCAGCACUUUGGGCUACAACGGGACCACCUCGGCUUACCCCAGCCACCCCAUGCCCUACAGCUCCGUCUUGACUCAGAACUCGCUGGGCAACAACCACUCCUUCUCCGCCUCCAACGGCCUGAGCGUGGACAGGCUGGUCAAUGGCGAGAUCCCCUACGCCACCCACCACCUCACCGCCGCCGCGCUGGCCGCCUCGGUGCCCUGCGGCUUGUCCGUGCCCUGCUCCGGCACCUAUUCCCUCAACCCCUGCUCGGUCAACCUGCUGGCGGCGGGCCAGACCAGUUACUUUUUCCCCCACGUCCCUCACCCUUCCAUGACUUCCCAGAGCAGCACUGCCAUGACGGCCCGGGCCGCCUCGUCCUCCACCUCGCCGCAGGCGCCCUCCACGCUCCCGUGCGAGUCCCUAAGACCUUCCCUGCCGAGUUUUACCACGGGACUGUCGGGAGGACUUUCUGAUUAUUUCACACAUCAAAAUCAGGGCUCUUCCUCCAACCCGUUAAUACAUUAACCUCCAGGGGAGUCGAGACUGUAAGUGAACAUUUUACACACCUUUACCUUGUAAAUGAUAAUGGGGCGAGAGCGAGAGCGAGCGAGCGCGAGAGAGAGCGAAAGAGCGAGCGAGAACGAGAGAGAGACUAUAAAAGAACAAAAUAGGAAAAAAAAACUCACCCAGGAAAAAGUCCAGAUACCCGGGACGAGGAGGGGAAGAUGGUGCAAAGCAGCGUGGGCAACCGCGGUGGAGGAACUAUCCGAGAAAAAGGAAUUGGACGGAAGACAUUCCAAUGGGAAAAAGAGGGAUUAAUCCUACAGCAAAGUAGAUAUCUUUUUUGUGGGGCUGGCGGAGACCAGAGCCAAUAAACAAACACAGCGGA